rnacentral:rRNA from 1 species
GACGAACGCUGGCGGCGUGCCUAAUACAUGCAAGUCGAACGAGAGCGCCCGGUGCUUGCACUGGUCACUCUAGUGGCGAACGGGUGAGUAACACGUGGGUAACCUGCCCAUCAGAGGGGGAUAACAUUCGGAAACGGAUGCUAACACCGCAUAGGUCUUCGAACCGCAUGGUUUGAAGGGGAAAAGAGGCGCAAGCUUCUGCUGAUGGAUGUACCCGCGGUGCAUUAGCUAGUUGGUGAGGUAACGGCUCACCAAGGCCGUGAUGCAUAGCCGACCUGAGAGGGUGAUAGGCCACAUUGGGACUGAGACACGGCCCAAACUCCUACGGGAGGCAGCAGUAGGGAAUCUUACGCAAUGGACGCUAGUCUGACGGAGCAACGCCGCGUGAGUGAAGAAGGUUUUCGGAUCGUAAAACUCUGUUGUUAGAGAAGAAUAAGUGCUAGAGUAACUGUUAGCGCCUUGACGGUAUCUAACCAGAAAGCCACGGCUAACUACGUG